GCGUACGGCCAUCACACCCUGAACGCGCUCAAUCUCGUCUGACCUCAGAAGCUAAGCAGGGUCAGGCCUGGUGAGUACUUGGCUGGGAGAAGUCACAGGGUUCUGCU
rnacentral:rRNA from 1 species